rnacentral:rRNA from 2 species
AGAGUUUGAUCCUGGCUCAGGAUGAACGCUAGCGGCAGGCUUAAUACAUGCAAGUCGAGGGGCAGCAUGGUGUAGCAAUACACUGAUGGCGACCGGCAAACGGGUGCGGAACACGUACAGAACCUUCCUUCAAGCGGGGAAUAGCCCAGAGAAAUUUGGAUUAAUACCCCAUAGCAUAAUGGAGUGGCAUCACUUUGUUAUUAAAGAUUUAUCACUUGAAGAUGGCUGUGCGGCUGAUUAGGUAGUUGGCGGGGUAACGGCCCACCAAGCCUGCGAUCAGUAACUGGUGUGAGAGCACGACCAGUCACACGGGCACUGAGACACGGACCAGACUCCUACGGGAGGCAGCAGUGAGGAAUAUUGGACAAUGGGCGCAAGCCUGAUCCAGCCAUGCCGCGUGCAGGAUGACGGUCCUAUGGAUUGUAAACUGCUUUUAUACAGGAAGAAACCCUACUUUGCGAAGUAGCUUGACGGUACUGUAAGAAUAAGGAUCGGCUAACUCCGUGCCAGCAGCCGCGGUAAUACGGAGGAUCCAAGCGUUAUCCGGAAUCAUUGGGUUUAAAGGGUCCGUAGGCGGUUUAAUAAGUCAGUGGUGAAAUCUUGUAGCUCAACUAUAAAAUUGCCAUUGAUACUGUUAGACUUGAAUAAUUAAGAAGUAACUAGAAUAUGUAGUGUAGCGGUGAAAUGCUUAGAGAUUACAUGGAAUACCAAUUGCGAAGGCAGGUUACUAUUAAUUUAUUGACGCUGAUGGACGAAAGCGUGGGUAGCGAACAGGAUUAGAUACCCUGGUAGUCCACGCCGUAAACGAUGGAUACUAGCUGUUUGGAGCAAUCUGAGUGGCUAAGCGAAAGUGAUAAGUAUCUCACCUGGGGAGUACGUUCGCAAGAAUGAAACUCAAAGGAAUUGACGGGGGCCCGCACAAGCGGUGGAGCAUGUGGUUUAAUUCGAUGAUACGCGAGGAACCUUACCAAGGCUUAAAUGUAGAUUGACCGUUUAGGAAACUAGACUUUCGCAAGACAAUUUACAAGGUGCUGCAUGGUUGUCGUCAGCUCGUGCCGUGAGGUGUCAGGUUAAGUCCUAUAACGAGCGCAACCCCUGUUGUUAGUUGCCAGCGAGUAGUGUCGGGAACUCUAGCAAGACUGCCAGUGCAAACUGUGAGGAAGGUGGGGAUGACGUCAAAUCAUCACGGCCCUUACGCCUUGGGCUACACACGUGCUACAAUGGACGGUACAGAGAGCAGCCACUACGCAAGUAGGCGCGAAUCUACAAAACCGUUCUCAGUUCGGAUCGGAGUCUGUAACUCGACUCCGUGAAGCUGGAAUCGCUAGUAAUCGGAUAUCAGCCAUGAUCCGGUGAAUACGUUCCCGGGCCUUGUACACACCGCCCGUCAAGCCAUGGAAGCUGGGGGUGCCUGAAGUCGGUGACCGCAAGGAGCUGCCUAGGGUAAAACUGGUAACUGGGGCUAAGUCGUAACAAGGUAACC